CAACCCUCAAGCCCCCGGGCUUGGUGUUGGAGAUCGGCACACCGUCCCUCGCGGACGCGCCGCCGUCUCCCAAAUCUAGUGGCGGUCUCGCUGUAGCUUCCUCUGCGUAGUAACUCACCUCGCACUGGGACGCGGCGCGGCCACGCCGUUAAACACCCCACUUCUGAA
rnacentral:misc_RNA from 1 species